rnacentral:lncRNA from 1 species
AGUUAGUUCAGUUUAUCUGUGAUGUAUACAGUGCCAAAAAUAGUAGCAUGAAGUAAGCCCAGAAAUGUGGUUUGGAACUAGGUUGUGGAGGCCCUUGAAUAAUCUUUUAUACCAUCAGCUUAUCCAGGCAGUUGCAUGCAGUGGAAAGAGCCCUAGAUUUGGAGUUAGAGUUGAAAUUCAGGUUUGGCUUUGUUGAAUGCAGUCCUCAGAAGGGGUUACCUUGACUUCACUGACCUGAUGGUUGGAGGAAGUUUUGUGAUAUCUCUGGGAACUCAAGGCACCUGGAGCCUAUUAUUCUCACCAGAUGUCUAUCACUCCCCAGUUUUAGGUUAUUAUGCAAAAUAACUUAACAUACCACGUGUUACUGCCUCUCCCCACCAUUCCUCCCUGAUGAGUCUAUUUAAAUCCUGCCCUUUCUGUUCCCUUUAGGAUACUCCUAUACUUUGGUGCUGUUCUGGAUUGCAACCUCCUUGCCUCAAUUAAAGAUCCUUCUUGCUAUAUUGUUCUCUCUAUUUCAAGGUUGAUAGCUAUUUGUGACCUGCCAUCUUGGGCAAGCCAAGAUGGAGAAACUAAGACUUCAACAGGUUGUGAGAAGGGGGAAAAAGACUCAAAAUGGAGUGGCCAAGAUGAUUAUUCAUCCAUCCAUCCAUCCAUCUACCCAUCCAUCCAUCCAUCCAUCCACUUACUAGAGUCUCCUUUCAAGGAUGUACAGUAUAGCCUGGUGGAAAUGUAGAUCUCCAUGGAAACUGGUGAGGUGAAAUCACUCAAGUGUUGACAAGCAGAGUUCUUCUCCACGGCAUAGGAAGUGGAGAAACGUCUCACAGCUGCCCAGAAGAGGAAUAAACCUGCGACUCUGUAUAUUAAACA